UACGUAGGGGGCAAGCGUUGUCCGGAAUUAUUGGGCGUAAAGAGCGUGUAGGCGGUCCGGUAAGUCAGCUGUGAAAGUCAAGGGCUCAACCCUUGAAUGCCGGUUGAUACUGUCGGGCUAGAGUCCGGAAGAGGCGAGUGGAAUUCCCGGUGUAGCGGUGAAAUGCGCAGAUAUCGGGAGGAACACCAGUGGCGAAGGCGGCUUCCUGGCCUGUUCUUGACGCUGAGGCGCGAAAGCUAGGGGAGCAAACGGG
rnacentral:rRNA from 1 species